ensembl:snoRNA
GGGGUGUGCUCAGAGCAGGGGGCGCAGAGAAUGGUCCCACUGUUUACAACACACCCAACAGCAAUCUGGGGCCAUUGUGAUGAGGAGCACAACACUUGUGGCCUCCCUGUGAGCAAAUGCCCCACAUCC